UACAGAGGUCUCAAGCGUUGUUCGGAUUCAUUGGGCGUAAAGGGUGCGUAGGUGGCGCUGUAAGUCGGGUGUGAAAUUUCGGAGCUUAACUCCGAAACUGCAUUCGAUACUGCGGUGCUUGAGGACUGGAGAGGAGACUGGAAUUCAUGGUGUAGCAGUGAAAUGCGUAGAGAUCAUGAGGAAGACCAGUGGCGAAGGCGGGUCUCUGGACAGUUCCUGACACUGAGGCGCGACAGCGUGGGGAGCAAACAGG
rnacentral:rRNA from 1 species